UACAGAGGUCUCAAGCGUUGUUCGGAUUCAUUGGGCGUAAAGGGUGCGUAGGCGGCGCGGUAAGUCGGGUGUGAAAUCUCGGGGCUUAACUCCGAAACUGCAUUCGAUACUGCCGUGCUUGAGGACUGGAGAGGAGACUGGAAUUUACGGUGUAGCGGUGAAAUGCGUAGAUAUCGGGAGGAACACCAGUGGCGAAGGCGGUUGCCUGGAGCUUUGCUGACGCUGAUGCGCGAAAGCGUGGGGAGCGAUCCGG
rnacentral:rRNA from 1 species